rnacentral:rRNA from 1 species
CAGUCGCCACGGUAAUACGUAGGGUGCAAGCGUUAAUCGGAAUUACUGGGCGUAAAGCGUGCGCAGGCGGUUAUAUAAGACAGAUGUGAAAUCCCCGGGCUCAACCUGGGAACUGCAUUUGUGACUGUAUAGCUAGAGUACGGCAGAGGGGGAUGGAAUUCCGCGUGUAGCAGUGAAAUGCGUAGAUAUGCGGAGGAACACCAAUGGCGAAGGCAAUCCCCUGGGCCUGUACUGACGCUCAUGCACGAAAGCGUGGGGAGCAAACAGGAUUAGAUACCCCGGUAGUCCCUGUCUCUUAUAC